rnacentral:rRNA from 1 species
GAUGAACGCUGGCGGCGUGCCUAAUACAUGCAAGUCUAUCGAACAGCCGAGGAUCUUGCUCCUCUGACGUUAGCGGCGGACGGUUGAGUAUCACGUGGAUAACCUACCUAUAGGACUGACAUACCUUCGCGAAACCGGACCUAAUACCGGGUAAUCUACUCAACCGCAUGGUUCAAUAGUGAAAGAUGGUUUUGCUGUCACUUAUAUCUUAAUCGUGGCCUCAUUAGGUAGUUGCUAAGGUAACGGCUUACCAAGGGAAAGAUGCGUAGCCAACCUGGCAGGGAUAUGUGCCCCACUGGAGAUGGGGAACGGCCAAGAGGCCUACGGGAGGCAGCAGUAGGGAAUCUGCGGCAAUGGGGGAAAGCCUGUCGGAGCAACGCCGCGUGAGUGAUGCAGGUCUUCGGAGCGUACAAAUCUGUUAUUAGGGAAGAACAAAUGUGUCAGUAACUAUGCACGUAUUGACGGUACCUAAUCAGAAAGCCACGGCUAAAUACGUG